CUUCCUUCCCCCGUCUGCCCGAGCCCCCGCCGCCAACUGCUACUCCUCCACCGCCUCGCCUCUUCCUCCUCCUUGCCGUCCCAUCGCUCGCACGCAGGCCAUCGUGGCCACGCGCUUCGCGGGCCCGAUCUCCACCGCCUGCUCCGGGACGAUGCCUCUCGAGUGAAGGAGGAUGCCCAAACCAUGGUCGAGCCAACGGUGGGGGCCGGGUCAAGGCUGCGGUUGGCGGCCUGGAUGCAGGCGAUGGUGGCGGACGUUGGGGGUCUGGCGGGCGUGGCGGCCGACGGGAUCUGCUAGACAUGUAGGCAGCUGGAAGGGCAGCAGCGGCCUGUGGGGCGUCGACCGGUCCAGCAGCCGCCUUGAUGGAGAAGGGCCAUGCAGGAUUCGUGCCCCUGCACAUCCAGGACUAUGACAUUGGCACUGUCAACAUCUAGCAGUAAGAGAAGUGGCCCCAAUUAGUACAUGGUUCGUUUUGGAUUUUGGAUCUGCAACAUUUAGGAGGCUGGUCUGGAUUAGGUCCGUUUCUUGGAGUAUGACAAGUUGAUGGUGAUCCUCACGCUGACAAAAUAAUGGAACAUUUAGUGCUGGUGCUUCUGAAGGGCUUUUAUCUUGAGCUGCUCAUACUAGUAUGACAAGGUGGAAAGUCAAGUGCUUAUUGAUCAAAGAAGAAGAAGCAUAAUAAGUGUGCACUCUCAGAGUUUCAGAGUGGGGUUGCUUCCUCUGCCCCCUUCAUGUGGUUUAGGGCUUUUAUCUUGAGCUGCUCACUACUAUGACAAGGUGGAAAGUCAACUGCUUAUUGAUCGAAGAAGAAGAAGCAUAAUAAGUGUGCACUUUCAGAGUUCCGGAGUGGGGUUGCUUCCUCCGCGCCCUUCAUAUGGUUGAGGGCUUUUAUCUUGAGCUGCUCAGUCAAGUGCUUAUUGAUCGAAGAAGAAGAAGCAUAAUAAGUGUGCACUUUCAGACUUUCAGAGUGGGGUUGCUUCCUCCGCGCCCUUCAUAUGGUUGAGGUCUGGUCUACGCUAAAUGAAUGUUGGUGUUCUAGAUCUGGCUGUAUCUGCAGUGCACGAGUGUGUCGACGAGAAGGAGCAACAACUCCUUGGACAAUGUUUUGUUUCACUUUUCAAGGAUGAGUAUCUUUACUUUGAAAAUGAACUCGUCAUAUUUCUAUUGGAAAUGAAGUGAUGUUGCUUCCCAGUUGUCGGCCCCGGUGGAGCCUUGCAGUGGCUGGGCGUGACCAUGCUCUGCCUCCGCUGGUGAGAGCCGUGAGGAGUCAGAGAGGGAGAUUGAGGAGGAGGAAGAUGAUACACCCGGCAGCGUGACACAUGCGUCUCCCAACGGCGCUUGCAACGGGAGAUUCGCGGGCUAUGUCAGGCUGCACCAGCAAGGUGAGCCCCAUCACUCUGCGUUUAUUUCUUCAGAUCAUGCAGCAGCAAUGUGACCGAGGAAUCGAUGCUUUACAUAAUUGAUCAGUUAACUGGUAAUAUAUCUAUAGAAUAGCCAAGCAAAAAACAUUGCGUUUCCUAGAUGUUCCAUACGAUAUUGAAGUUGGAACCAGGCUAAUAGACAAACUGUAUAUCCGAUUAUGCUAGAAAAAGGAGAAUAGAACGUUUACUUUUAUGAUGGUAGGAUGUCUUAGUUUUGUUUCCUAUGUUCUCUCUCAAAAAAGAAAUCUGGGAUACACCAUCAGUAUCAACACCGGUAAAAAGAAUCCAAUCAAAAUAUGAUGUUUUUCCCUUGGCUAUAUGUUUAUUUGAAGGAAACCAUUCAAUUCUCAGUGAUCUUUCUUUAUGCGACGUGGUGCCAUUUUUCCUAAUGUGCCUAUAGAAGUGAUUUAUCAGGUGUUUUGGUUUAUUAUCUUAUAAGGGAGUCCCAAAGUUUUUUGGAUUAUGAAUUCUCUGGUCAGAAUCGGUUGUUUUUUCCCCUUGUGUUCAUUUAUUUCUCAGAUUGCAGAACUGACGAGUGUAGACUAAGUUGAUGAUCUACAUGUGUUGCUCCUCUCCCCUGAUGUGUAGUGCAACUAUAAAUAGGGAGAGAAUUGCUUGAGGAGAGCUCUCUUGCUACUGUUCUGAGCUCACUCUUUGACUAAUCUAAAUGCUCUCUCUGCUCACUGAUCGAUCAAGGAUGGCACUGAAAUAUCAGCAAGGACCAGCACAAAAAGAAAGGGAGAAUAAAUGGGACCAAUUAACUUACUUCUGUUUAAGAGUACACUACUUUUGACUUUGGAGUCGCACUGGUGAAUGGGGCGUCGCAUGGUCUAUGCUGGAGGUGUUCACAUAUAACAAGUUCACUAUUUGUUCCAUUGGUCAGUUGUAUAAUCUGUGGGCGUAUUUAAGUUGAACUAUGCUCCUUCCUUGGUAUUUGGAGACAAGAUACUGACAGUUUUUAUGUUACCAGACUGUUUAUUAGUUAUCUGUAGUUUUAUAACAAUCUCCAUUGUCAAUGGUAGUUCAGAUUCUUCAGGAA